ACGGGAGGCAGCAGUAGGGCAUAUUGCACAAUGGGGGAAACCCUGAUGCAGCAACGCCACGUGUGGGAAGAAGCAUCUCGGUGUGUAAACAACUGUCGUGAAGGAAUAAUGAUUGGUCUCGGCCACGUUGAAUGUACUUUGAAAGGAAGCACCGGCAAACUUCGUGCCAGCAGCCGCGGUAAUACGAGGGGUGCAAGCGUUGUUCGGAAUCACUGGGCGUAAAGGGAGCGCAGGCGGAGAUGCAAGCAGUCUGUACAAUACCGGGGCCCAACCCCGGACCUGCAGACUGGACUGUUUCUCUUGGAUAGCUUAGGGGCUGGCGGAAUUCCUGGUGUAGCGGUGGAACGCGUAGAGAUCAGGAAGAACACCGAUGGCGAAGGCAGCCAGCUGGGGGCUUAUCGACGCUCAUGCUCGAAAGUACGGGUAGCAAACAGGAUUAGAUACCCUGGUA
rnacentral:rRNA from 1 species